AUUGAACGCUGGCGGCAGGCCUAACACAUGCAAGUCGAACGGUAACAGGAAGAAGCUUGCUUCUUUGCUGACGAGUGGCGGACGGGUGAGUAAUGUCUGUGAAACUGCCUGAUGGAGGGGGAUAACUACUGGAAACGGUAGCUAAUACCGCAUAACGUCGCAAGACCAAAGAGGGGGACCUUCUGGCCUCUUGCCAUCGGAUGUGCCCAGAUGGGAUUAGCCAGUAGGUGGGGUAACGGCUCACCUAGGCGACGAUCCCUAGCUGGUCUGAGAGGAUGACCAGCCACACUGGAACUGAGACACGGUCCAGACUCCUACGGGAGGCAGCAGUGGGGAAUAUUGCACAAUGGGCGCAAGCCUGAUGCAGCCAUGCCGCGUGUAUGAAGAAGGCCUUCGGGUUGUAAAGUACUUUCAGCGGGGAGGAAGGGAGUAAAGUUAAUACCUUUGCUCAUUGACGUUACCCGCAGAAGAAGCACCGGCUAACUCCGUG
rnacentral:rRNA from 1 species